rnacentral:rRNA from 1 species
CCUACGGGAGGCAGCAGUGAGGAAUAUUGGUCAAUGGCCGGAAGGCUGAACCAGCCAAGCCGCGUGAAGGACGAAGGUGCCAAGCAUUGUAAACUUCUUUUGUCAAGGGACACAAUCAGGCUCGAGAGCCUGACCGAGGGUACUUGAAGAAAAAGCAUCGGCUAACUCCGUGCCAGCAGCCGCGGUAAUCCGUAGGAGGCAAGCGUUGUCCGGAUUUACUGGGUGUAAAGGGGGGGUAGGCGGGCUGACAAGUAAGAUGGGAAAUUCCGGGGCUCAACGCCGGACCUGCAUUUGAAACUGUUGGUCUAGAGUGUAGGAGAGGCAGGCGGAAUGCCUGGUGUAGCGGUGAAAUGCGUAGAUAUUAGGAGGAACACCAGUGGCGAAGGCAGCCUGCUGGACGACAACUGACGGUGAGGCGCGAAAGCGUGGGGAGCAAACAGGAUUAGAGACCCAUGUAGUC